GUAGGGAAUCUUCGGCAAUGGGGGCAACCCUGACCGAGCAACGCCGCGUGAGUGAAGAAGGUUUUCGGAUCGUAAAGCUCUGUUGUAAGAGAAGAACGUGUGUGAGAGUGGAAAGUUCACACAGUGACGGUAACUUACCAGAAAGGGACGGCUAACUACGUGCCAGCAGCCGCGGUAAUACGUAGGUCCCGAGCGUUGUCCGGAUUUAUUGGGCGUAAAGCGAGCGCAGGCGGUUUAAUAAGUCUGAAGUUAAAGGCAGUGGCUUAACCAUUGUUCGCUUUGGAAACUGUUAAACUUGAGUGCAGAAGGGGAGAGUGGAAUUCCAUGUGUAGCGGUGAAAUGCGUAGAUAUAUGGAGGAACACCGGUGGCGAAAGCGGCUCUCUGGUCUGUAACUGACGCUGAGGCUCGAAAGCGUGGGGAGCAAACAGG
rnacentral:rRNA from 1 species